rnacentral:misc_RNA from 1 species
UUUCCGUAGGUGAACCUGCGGAAGGAUCAUUACCACGCGAUCCAAAUUCAACAUCCCCUCUAUUACGUGUGGCGGCUGUGUCCCCCGCGGGGGCGCGCGGCCGUCGCACGCAACACGCAUCCCACGAUACAAACCAAGACCACCCCACUGUCAACCGUUCGUGCAUUGCGAGCGAGUCGGAAGAACACUGGCGCAAGGUGGGUGCAAACCCCCUCCCUCGCCACGCCCACAAACUUGAGCGCAACUUUUAGCAAUGGAUAUCUUGGCUCUCGCAGCGAC